ensembl:lncRNA
GUGAAAUUAUGUCAGAUGAACCUGGGGUGAGUGGAUUGCCGGUGUGUUCUCUGUCCCCCUCCCGCAGAGAGGAAGGAGAAUUGGAUUUGGACUCAGUUCACAUGUUGCUGCGUAGCUUCCAGCAAGAGCUCAGGGACACAGAGAGAGAGCGGGAUGAGGCACAAGCACAAGAUGAGGCGGUUCAGCGUGGGGAGUUACAGAAUAGGAUUAUGAGUGAAGAGCUGGCCAAAAUGAAGAACAGCCAACAGAUAACUGAGGCAGAGGCCAAAGCACUGCAGGAGAAGCUGGAGUGCUACCAGACCUCUGAGGAAAGUCUCGAAGUUGAGCGUCGCCAUAUGAAGGAGACCUGUGAGGCCACGGAAGCUCGAGCUGCCAGGCUGGAACUCACACGCUGGGGGUUGGGGGGAGAGCUGCAGCAUGCCCAGCUCUGAGCCACAGAGAUGGAGUCGGAGGUCAGCUCACUGCAGGAACGCCUUAACAAACUCCGCAGAGAACUGAGAGACAGUGAAAAACGUGCUUCCCUCCUGAAGGUUGAGGGUGAGAGGUUGGCAACUGCCUUGGCACACACAGAACUGCAGGAGAGCCAGUUGAGGGAGCAACUGCAGGCCAUGGCUGCAUCCCUGACUGAAAGCAAUGCUGCUGCAGGAACAGCACAGGAUCAGGCUGCCCAGCUGCAGCAAGUUCUCACAGCCAGCGAACAUGACUGGAAGAUGCUGCAGUCACAGAUCUCUAUCUUGGAGCAGACUCACUCCCAGAGGCUCCUGGAAGUGAUGGCUCGCCACAGACAAGAGCUGGACCUGGAGACAGAGUGGAUGAAGGACUCCCAGCAACAGGCUGAGAGAGCACUGGAGGCCCAAGAGAAAGCUCACUGCGAGAGGGUCCACUGCUUGGAGGAACAGGUUUGCACACUGAAAAAACAGUUGAAGCAGGAGAUGAAGAGGAGGCAAGCAUAUAUGAAGCAGAUGUUAAGAUUGGGGCUCUAAAAACCGAAAUGACUUGGGAAUUCAGCCCACGGUGACCAACUGACAGCUUUUUGUUCCCAAACAUGUUUGUAGUCUCUCAAAGGCUUAUAACCAAUGAAACAGGGCCUGUGCUAACAUGAAUGGACUUAUGCAUACUGAGAAGGUAACACACAUAUAUUUCACACACACACUUUAGAUUUAAAAACAUACAAAAUCACUGAUCUCAGGGAGAACUGUUGGACUGCAUUUGCACAAAUACUUUAAGUAAUCCUGAUCCAUGCCAUAAGAACCCAGUAACAACAAACAAAGAGAUUACUGUUUCACCAAAUGCUUCUCAAUUGCCAAAUUGUUUUAAGGAUUUGUGCAGCAAACUGUUGAAACAGACCAUAAAUCUACCUAAAGCUUAUCCUUGUUCAUCUUAGAGCAUUAAGCACAAUCUCAAUUCUGCAUCACACACACUUUUAAACAUCUGUACCUACCUUAAAUAUUUCACCCUAGGUCCCCUAAACUGUUUAGCAAACCACAUAAUUAUUCUCUAUUUCUUUUUUAUAACAUGUUAUUCUGUAGCUGACAUGAUUGAUGACAUGACUGAAAUGAUGAUCAUUAUUUAAUCACACAACCAUUAAGAGAAUAAGAUCAUCUUGUUUCAGUAAGUACCAAUAAGCUAAAUUACCGCUAGAGUGAAUCAGGACAGAAAAUGAGUCAUAUGUCUUAUCUACAAAUGUUGUUUCAUAUUAAUGCUUCUAUAUGGUGUUUCUCUUAUUAUGGGUGUUAAAACAAUUUCUAAUUCAUAAUCACUACUGUGUUACAGGUUAUUCCAUGUAAUAACUAUUAGAAAACUAGUAUUUUUUAUGAGUCAAUAAAACCAUACAAACAAGAAAAAUAACA